GGUCUUAUAGUUUAAUUAAAACGUUAAAUUGCAAAUUUAAUGAUGGCUAAGUCUAAGACUU
rnacentral:tRNA from 1 species